GAUCAUGGCUCAGGAUGAACGCUAGCUACAGGCUUGACACAUGCAAGUCGAGGGGGCAGCAUGAACUUAGCUUGCUAAGUUUGAUGGCGACCGGCGCACGGGUGAGUAACACGUAUCCAACCUUCCGUUUACUCAGGGAUAGCCUUUCGAAAGAAAGAUUAAUACCUGAUAGUAUGGUGAGAUUGCAUGAUAGCACCAUUAAAGAUUUAUUGGUAAACGAUGGGGAUGCGUU
rnacentral:rRNA from 1 species